rnacentral:rRNA from 1 species
GCGUGAGUGAUGAAGGCCUUAGGGUUGUAAAGCUCUUUUACCAGGGAUGAUAAUGACAGUACCUGGAGAAUAAGCUCCGGCUAACUCCGUGCCAGCAGCCGCGGUAAUACGGAGGGAGCUAGCGUUGUUCGGAAAUACUGGGCGUAAAGCGCACGUAGGCGGCGUCGCAAGUCAGGGGUGAAAUCCCGGGGCUCAACCCCGGAACUGCCCUUGAAACUGCAAUGCUAGAAUACUGGAGAGGCAAGUGGAAUUCCGAGUGUAGAGGUGAAAUUCGU